CUGGCCGUAAACGAUGAACACUAGAUGUUGGGGGAAUCGACCCCCUCGGUGUCGUAGCUAACGCGUUAAGUGUUCCGCCUGGGGAGUACGCACGCAAGUGUGAAACUCAAAGGAAUUGACGGGGGCCCGCACAAGCGGUGGAGUAUGUGGUUUAAUUCGAUGCAACGCGAAGAACCUUACCAAGGCUUGACAUCCUGCGAAUCUCCAAGAAAUUGGAGAGUGCCUUUUGGAACGCAGUGACAGGUGGUGCAUGGCUGUCGUCAGCUCGUGUCGUGAGAUGUUGGGUUAAGUCCCGCAACGAGCGCAACCCACGUUUUUAGUUGCCAGCAUUCAGUUGGGCACUCUAGAAAGACUGCCGGUGACAAACCGGAGGAAGGUGUGGACGACGUCAAGUCAUCAUGCCCCUUACGCCUUGGGCUACACACGUACUACAAUGCUGCGGACAAAGAGUAGCGAUCUUGCGAAAGUUAGCUAAUCUCGUAAACCGUGGCUCAGUCCAGAUCGUAGGCUGCAACUCGCCUACGUGAAGGAGGAAUCGCUAGUAAUCGCAGGUCAGCAUACUGCGGUGAAUACGUUCCCGGGCCUUGUACACACCGCCCGUCACACCAUGGAAGUUGGCCAUGCCCGAAGUCGUUACUCUAACCUUUUGGAAGAGGGCGCCGAAGGCAGGGCUAAUGACUGGGGUGAAGUCGUAACAAGGUAGCCGUAGCGGAAGCUGCGGCUGGAUCACCUCCUAA
rnacentral:rRNA from 1 species